rnacentral:rRNA from 1 species
GCGAGGAAUCUUGGUCAAUGGGGGAAACCCUGAACCAGCGACGCCGCGUGGGGGACGAAGGCCCUUGGGUCGUAAACCCCUUUUGCCGGGGAAGAUAAUGACGGUACCCGGCGAAUAAGCCACGGCUAACUACGUGCCAGCAGCCGCGGUAAUACGUAGGUGGCGAGCGUUGUCCGGAUUUACUGGGCGUAAAGGGCGCGUAGGUGGCCUGGCAAGUCCGCCGUGAAAGGUUGCGGCCCAACUGCAACAGUGCGGGGGAUACUGCUGGGCUUGAGGGCAGCAGAGGCCGGUGGAAUUCCCGGUGGAGUGGUGAAAUGCGUAGAUAUCGGGAGGAACACCAGAGGCGAAGGCGGCCGGCUGGGCUGUACCUGACGCUGAGGCGCGAAAGCGUGGGGAGCGAACCGGAUUAGAAACCCUGGUAGUCC